UGUCAAAUGGGAGAAAAGAGGCCAUCUCUCCAAUACCUAGAAACUGAAUCACUUAAGAUUUUAUAGGCCAACAAUGAUCCCAUCAAGUUCACAUGGAAAUCAACUGGCAACCAGAGCAGAAGUGCAAUAUGCUCUCUGGGUGAAACGGCACUUUAUGAGUACUCCACCAAAUUCUGCACUAGCUGCAAUUUCAAGACGUUUUUAAGCUGCGAAGGACAGCAAUUAUCUAACCUGAAGGGGACAAAAAUGGUGGUGAAAAAGAAAGGGGACAGAAUGGUGACUUAGCCUCAAGAUUUAUUCUCUGUGUCUGUGGUUCAGAGAGGAGCCUGGAGGACAAGAUGAGUCAACGCCAGCUCUAUGAUGUCGAUUGACCUACUUUUCCAUGAGGAAGACCAGGCUGAGUGACUCGUUUGCAAUAAGAUAGUGGCAGUGGUUGGCAUUCCGGAACAAAGUUUGGUGUACCAUGGCCUGUCAGAGACCCUACAGAAGACCUACAAAUACACAGUGAUGAGAAGAGACCUAGAACUGCUCAACUCCCCAUGCUAUAAGGCAAGGUAGAUGAGCAGGAGGGAAGGCACAGGGGAAGUACCGGGACUGCAAGGAAUCUUUGCUUUCUCCUUGUACAUCUGACUCACGGGCCAGCCAUAACUGUAGUCUUUGAACUCUGAGCACACAGAUAUUGCUCCCUGCAAGUGCAUCAGUAUAUACACCCUCCCUCUCCUCAAAUGUUGUUGGAAAAAGGCAGAGCCUGGAUUCCUUCUGGAUCUGGAGAGCACAUGCAGCAUCUUCUUAUGAGGUGAUACCAAUGGCACACAGAAGGAUUGUGCCUUUCUGGGAAGCACUGUACAUCCCUGAGGCACAGUGUUUCCUGGAGCUCUUGAUGUGGUGGCCCAGUCUCAACCCCUCUCCCCAAUCAACCCUCCCACACAUACACACUUCAGGGCUGUGUCUGAAUGGCACCCACAGGCAUAGGAAACUUGGAUCUGGAUCCAGAAUUCAGAGACAGAGGUUCUGGUUUGGCCACAUUUUGAUUUUUGAUGAAGAGAGAAAUCUCUCUGUUUUACUUGGGAUAUAACAAACAGAUACAGUAGAACUUCACUAAUCUGCAAACCCAGUCAUUUUAACCAAAAAUCUAGUUGUCUCAUCUGCCUUCUUAGCAAAGAUUUAACGGCAGGGAUAGCACUGGAGCAAGAUCUAUUACUAAUAUUUCACUACAAAAUAUAUUGCUGUACAUUUGCUGGUAGAAUAUAUUACGAAGUAUCAUAAAUAAUUAAA